rnacentral:rRNA from 1 species
ACGAACGAUGGCGGCGUGCUUAACACAUGCAAGUCGAACGGAAAGGCCCUGCUUUUGUGGGGUGCUCGAGUGGCGAACGGGUGAGUAACACGUGAGUAACCUGCCCUUGACUUUGGGAUAACUUCAGGAAACUGGGGCUAAUACCGGAUAGGAGCUCCUGCUGCAUGGUGGGGGUUGGAAAGUUUCGGCGGUUGGGGAUGGACUCGCGGUUUAUCAGCUUGUUGGUGGGGUAGUGGCUUACCAAGGCUUUGACGGGUAGCCGGCCUGAGAGGGUGACCGGCCACAUUGGGACUGAGAUACGGCCCAGACUCCUACGGGAGGCAGCAGUGGGGAAUAUUGCACAAUGGGCGGAAGCCUGAUGCAGCAACGCCGCGUGCGGGAUGACGGCCUUCGGGUUGUAAACCGCUUUCGCCUGUGACGAAGCGUGAGUGACGGUAAUGGGUAAAGAAGCACCGGCUAACUACGUG